GGCCAACUCGCCCGCUAGAAGAGGCGCUUGGAGCCUAGCUCGGAGGGGCGCGCCUCUGAUGCCCCGGGCCGCGGGCGCUGCGCUCGGAGCGUUUCCCUCUGGGCGGGCGAGGGCUCGGGCCACGGCGCUGGCGGGCUUGGGAGAGCGGUGACGACGCCAGUUUCCGCGCACGCGCAGAUAGGCGCGACUCCGUGCUGCCGAGAGUGCGCCCUUGUGAGGGCCGCUCGUCUGCUCCAGGCCGUCGAGGGUCCUGUGACGUGGCCGGCGUCAUUAGCGUUUAUGUGGCUGCUUUUUAGCGCGUCACUUUUUGGCGUUACGGGGCAUUUAGAGUGCUUGCCUGCCUGAUGGAAGCCCUGCCGGGCUUGCCCUUGCCAGCUGGGCCGAGCCCCAGGAAGGAGGCGCACUAGGCAAACUCUUUGGUUUUUUUGAGGGCCGAUUUAACAGUCAAAGGCUCACAGCAUCUUCUGGGAGUCCAGGUGAAAGGUCUUCGUGUUGCGUCGUCUUCCCAAAGAUGCAGGGUUUCUGUUCCCAGCAGUGUCUAAGUUGGUGGAGGCUCCUGUCUGGGAGGAAUUGGCAUCAAAGGCAGGUUUUCACGUCCAGCCUGAAAGGCCGGGCAGGUGCUGGAUUGCAGGUUGAAGGCAGAGGCAGUUCUCCGUCACACACCGAACACUACGUGCUCAGCAGAAAGGCUGACAUUGUCUUCCUGCAGUACUCACGUGUGCUUUCCGCUUCAGUCAGCAUGGUCCCUUCCAUCUGAGUGCCUUCAUUCACGGAUUUCAGCUCCCUCCCGGAGGCGACUUAUCCAGCGCGGCCCUAACAGCACAGCUGACACUCUGAGGACGGCUCGGGCAGACGCUGGCUCCUGCAAACUUUCAUAUGCGGCUUUAAAACAGGCACGGUAUCAUUAGCCCCGCUUCGUAGAACGAGAAAUUGAAUAAUCUUUCCAUUAAUUGGAAAGGCUAAUGUGUCCGGGCUCACACGACUGACCGACACCCAAGGCAGGACAAGCCCUCGCCAGGCCUCAGCGCUGCCGUGUGACCGCCGGGUCACGCUGGCUCUGCUCUGUGGCCGUGGCAGCUGUCCAGGUGCGGCCGGGAGGACGCGGCGGCACCGUGGGUGUCGUGGGAGAAGGGACUGAUUGCGGCAGUCAGACCUUGCAAAACUGAGACAAGCUGGAGAGAAGGGAGCAAGCCCGGACCACCUGCGGAUUAGAGAGUUGAGCAGGCCGCCUGCACACUACCGGCGCGGAGCCCUGCAGCCUGGAUCCGCCCACGGGUCCCAGGGAGCCGGGCUCCGGAGCUCGCCGCUCCCGGGUGCUUGGGUAGGGUUAGUGCAGGAAGAUGCGGGAGGUCCAGAGAAUCAGCUUCACUAGCCCUUGCCGACAGGUGCGGGGCCGUCGCGCGUGCAGGGCAGGGAGGCAGGCAGCUUCACUAGCCCUCAGCGACAGGUGUGGGGCCGUCAUGGCGUGCAAGGCAGGGAGGCAGGCAGCUUCACUAGCCCUCAGCGACAGGUGUGGGGCCGUCGUGGCGUGCAGGGCAGGGAGGCAGGCAGCUUCUGGAGGACCUGCGCAGCUGACAGACGGUGGCCGUGGCUUGGCAAGGCCAGCACUCCGUCAGAGCCCGCGACGCUCAGGUCUGGUCAAGUCAAGGCCAAAUCUUGGACCUCUCGCUGGUGGACUGUGGCUCACGGAUCAAACAAGACAGCCACUCUCAGCAUGUCCGGGCAGGCUUCAGCCCGUGGGAAGCCGGUUUCCCGGGUCCCCUCCUUGUUGCAGAUAGUGCUCUCCCAGUCACCCUGAGAGAAUUUGCGCUCACCCUGUGAGCCUUCCCUUCUCAGGAGCAGGUUUUUUGGGGGUUUUGUGGUUUGUUUGUUUUUUC